rnacentral:tRNA from 1 species
GGGAAUGUGGCCUAAUGGGAGGGUACUUGCCUAGCACACAUGAAGCCCUGGGUUCAAUUCCUCAUUACCA